rnacentral:rRNA from 1 species
AUUGAACGCUGGCGGCAGGCCUAACACAUGCAAGUCGAACGGUAACAGGAAGAAGCUUGCUUCUUUGCUGACGAGUGGCGGACGGGUGAGUAAUGUCUGGGAAACUGCCUGAUGGAGGGGGAUAACUACUGGAAACGGUAGCUAAUACCGCAUAACGUCGCAAGACCAAAGAGGGGGACCUUCGGGCCUCUUGCCAUCGGAUGUGCCCAGAUGGGAUUAGCUUGUUGGUGGGGUAACGGCUCACCAAGGCGACGAUCCCUAGCUGGUCUGAGAGGAUGACCAGCCACACUGGAACUGAGACACGGUCCAGACUCCUACGGGAGGCAGCAGUGGGGAAUAUUGCACAAUGGGCGCAAGCCUGAUGCAGCCAUGCCGCGUGUAUGAAGAAGGCCUUCGGGUUGUAAGGUACUUUCAGCGGGGAGGAAGGGAGUAAAGUUAAUACCUUUGCUCAUUGACGUUACCCGCAGAAGAAGCACCGGCUAACUCCGUG